UAGGGAAUCUUCCGCAAUGGACGCAAGUCUGACGGAGCAACGCCGCGUGAGUGAAGAAGGAUUUCGGUUCGUAAAACUCUGUUGUUAGAGAAGAACAGCGCAUAGAGUAACUGUUAUGCGUGUGACGGUAUCUAACCAGAAAGCCACGGCUAACUACGUGCCAGCAGCCGCGGUAAUACGUAGGUGGCAAGCGUUGUCCGGAUUUAUUGGGCGUAAAGCGAGCGCAGGCGGUCAAUUAAGUCUGAUGUGAAAGCCCCCGGCUCAACCGGGGAUGGUCAUUGGCAACUGGUUGACUUGAGUGCAGAAGAGGAGAGUGGAAUUCCAUGUGUAGCGGUGAAAUGCGUAGAUAUAUGAAGGAACACCAGUGUCGAAGGCGACUCUCUGGUCUGUAACUGACGCUGAGGCUCGAAAGCGUGGGUAGCAAACAGG
rnacentral:rRNA from 1 species